rnacentral:rRNA from 1 species
AAUCCAUAGGUUAAUGAGGCGAACCGGGGGAACUGAAACAUCUAAGUACCCCGAGGAAAAGAAAUCAACCGAGAUUCCCCCAGUAGCGGCGAGCGAACGGGGAGGAGCCCAGAGCCUGAAUCAGCAUGUGUGUUAGUGGAAGCGUCUGGAAAGGCGCGCGAUACAGGGUGACAGCCCCGUACACAAAAGCGCAUGUGCUGUGAGCUCGAUGAGUAGGGCGGGACACGUGGUAUCCUGUCUGAAUAUGGGGGGACCAUCCUCCAAGGCUAAAUACUCCUGACUGACCGAUAGUGAACCAGUACCGUGAGGGAAAGGCGAAAAGAACCCCGGCGAGGGGAGUGAAAAAGAACCUGAAACCGUGUACGUACAAGCAGUGGGAGCACCCUUC